GUAGUUUUCAGUAGGGCUCUGGACGAAAUACAACCGAGGCAAGGGAUUUCAAUUCUCCAAUCGCUUCUUCGAACAUGCAAAACUCAAAUGCAAGUUCUGGAGUCACACACGUGUCUUCAGAUUUUGUCUACUUCUGUCUGUCUGCUGUUUGGAAGUUUAUGACUUCUGUUUUUCCCUGUGGGGCCAGUGGUUUCACAGAAAUGGACGGUGACUCUGUGGAUGUUCCUCUCUCUGUUGAGGAGACCAGACCAUAUCCAGACCAGAGUUCAGUGCGUCCAUUCACUCUUUGAGGAUGAUGAGGAAGAUUAAGUCAAUUAUGAA